rnacentral:rRNA from 1 species
UAGGGAAUCUUCGGCAAUGGGGGCAACCCUGACCGAGCAACGCCGCGUGAGUGAAGAAGGUUUUCGGAUCGUAAAGCUCUGUUGUAAGAGAAGAACGUGUGUGAGAGUGGAAAGUUCACACAGUGACGGUAACUUACCAGAAAGGGACGGCUAACUACGUGCCAGCAGCCGCGGUAAUACGUAGGUCCCGAGCGUUGUCCAGAUUUAUUGGGCGUAAAGCGAGCGCAGGCGGUUUAAUAAGUCUGAAGUUAAAGGCAGUGGCUUAACCAUUGUUCGCUUUGGAAACUGUUAAACUUGAGUGCAGAAGGGGAGAGUGGAAUUCCAUGUGUAGCGGUGAAAUGCGUAGAUAUAUGGAGGAACACCGGUGGCGAAAGCGGCUCUCUGGUCUGUAACUGACGCUGAGGCUCGAAAGCGUGGGGAGCAAACAGG